rnacentral:rRNA from 1 species
AAUAGAUACCCUGGUAGUCCACGCCGUAAACGAUGAGUGCUAAGUGUUAGAGGGUUUCCGCCCUUUAGUGCUGCAGCUAACGCAUUAAGCACUCCGCCUGGGGAGUACGGUCGCAAGACUGAAACUCAAAGGAAUUGACGGGGGCCCGCACAAGCGGUGGAGCAUGUGGUUUAAUUCGAAGCAACGCGAAGAACCUUACCAGGUCUUGACAUCCCACUGAUCGGUAUAGAGAUAUACCUUUCCCUUCGGGGACAGUGGUGACAGGUGGUGCAUGGUUGUCGUCAGCUCGUGUCGUGAGAUGUUGGGUUAAGUCCCGCAACGAGCGCAACCCUUGAUCUUAGUUGCCAGCAUUUAGUUGGGCACUCUAAGGUGACUGCCGGUGACAAACCGGAGGAAGGUGGGGAUGACGUCAAAUCAUCAUGCCCCUUAUGACCUGGGCUACACACGUGCUACAAUGGAUGGUACAAAGGGCUGCAAGACUGCGAAGUCAAGCCAAUCCCAUAAACCAUACUCAGUUCGGAUUGUCG